UACAUUAUUAUUGAAAUAAGAAGCUGCUGAGGCCUGCCGUACGGGUCGAGCAGACUCUGCACAGUUUGACCAGCGGGCACCAGGCCGCUGGAUGGUGUUGGUACAAACUUGCAAUGUAUAACUAUUAUCAGACCAGCCCUCGCGGCCCCGAAACACUACCGGCCCACCGGGAAAAGUCCCAACUCUCCCGAUUGCCACUCCACUACUCUCCACUGAUAUAUCCCUGCAGGUGACAUGACUGUGUUGUGUCUGAAGUCAAAGGUUAACUUAACUAAAUGACCUCUUUCCUGUCAUCUACUGGAGAGAAAACCACACAGCCAAUACAUUCCAGUCAAAGAGGAAGUGGGAGAGUCUGACUGCUCUGACAAAAAGAGUUCUAAGUGUUUCUGGUCACAUCACCAAGAGGGAGAAUGAAGCAAACAUGUCUCGAGCUCCUGUUGACCUCACUGCUCUGCUGCAGAACAAACUCAGGCCAGAGUGGCUGGAGAGAUUAGCUGGAGCCUAAAAGUCAAAAGGAACGCUAAAAGUGGGGAUAUUGCCGUUUUUUGGCAAAGAAAAUUCAGAGAAGUGCACAGAAUGAAAAGGAAGCAAAUGAAGAAGGAGAAGGCAGUAAACUGGAGAGACCAGGAGGGUCAGAGCAGGAGAAGACCACAGAA